rnacentral:rRNA from 1 species
UACGUAGGGGGCGAGCGUUGUCCGGAUUUUAUUGGGCGUAAAGAGCUCGUAGGCGGCUUGGCAAGUCGGGUGUGAAACCUCCAGGCUCAACCUGGAGACGCCACUCGAUACUGCUAUGGCUAGAGUCCGGUAGGGGACCACGGAAUUCCUGGUGUAGCGGUGAAAUGCGCAGAUAUCAGGAGGAACACCGGUGGCGAAGGCGGUGGUCUGGGCCGGCACUGACGCUGAGGAGCGAAAGCAUGGGGAGCGAACAGG